UACAGAGGGUGCGAGCGUUAAUCGGAAUUACUGGGCGUAAAGCGUGCGUAGACGGUUUCGUAAGUCGGGUGUGAAAUCCCCGGGCUCAACCUGGGAAUUGCAUUCGAAACUGCGGGGCUAGGGUACGGAAGAGGGAAGCGGAAUUUCUGGUGUAGCGGUGAAAUGCGUAGAUAUCAGAAGGAACAUCAGUGGCGAAAGCGGCUUCCUGGUCCAGUACCGACGUUCAGGCACGAAAGCGUGGGGAGCAGACAGG
rnacentral:rRNA from 1 species